rnacentral:rRNA from 1 species
CACGUAGGGGGCGAGCGUUGUCCGGAUUUAUUGGGCGUAAAGAGCUCGUAGGCGGUUUCGUAAGUCGGAUGUGAAAACUCCAGCUCAACUUGGAGACGCCAUUCGAUACUGCGAUGACUUGAGUCCGGUAGGGGAGGUGUGGAAUUCCGUGGUGUAGCGGUGAAAUGCGCAGAUAAUCAGGAGGAACACCGGCGGCGAAGGCGGCACUCUGGGCCGGUACUGACGCUGAGACGCGAAAGCGUGGGGAGCGAACAGG